UACGUAGGGAGCAAGCGUUGUCCGGAAUCAUUGGGCGUAAAGCGCGCGUAGGCGGCCCUGUAAGUCCGUUGUGAAAGUCAAAGGCUCAACCUUUGAAAGCCGAUGGAUACUGUAGGGCUAGAGUCCGGAAGAGGCGAGUGGAAUUCCUGGUGUAGCGGUGGAAUGCGCAGAUAUCAGGAGGAACACCAAUAGCGAAGGCAGCUCGCUGGGACGGUACUGACGCUAAGGCGCGAAAAGCGUGGGGGAGCGAACAGG
rnacentral:rRNA from 1 species